rnacentral:lncRNA from 1 species
GUCCAAAGUCAGGAAUCUGAUGUACAGUAGUUGUCGUUUGUUUAUGUAAUAUAUACGUGUUUCUCGUUUCUCGUUUUUUUAUAUAGAUUAGACCGUUGGUUUUCCCGUUUGAAUGGUUUUUCACUAGUAAUUUUGGGGCCUUUAAUAUCUUGUUGUUCGGUGUGAGCCAAGGCUCCGUGUUGAGGGCCGUACAUUGACCUAUAAUCAUGGUUUACUUUUUUUUUAAAUUGUUAUUUGGAUGGAGAGUUGUCUCAUUGGCACUCACACCACAUCUUCCUAUAUCUAUA